rnacentral:lncRNA from 1 species
UUAUGUGUAAAACCAAGAAUUAGCAACAAAAAGAAGAAAUGCAUGAUAACCUUGUAUCCAAUCCUAGCUAUUGAUAACCAUGCAGGGGUGUUCAAUCUGCAGCAUUAAGUUGUCCGGUACUCGUCACCCCUUUCGAAGACUAUUUCCUAUAGCCAACAAAACAUUAUUCCAUCUACCAGCGUCAUCUUUUAUGAGUCAACCUUGUAAUUUGUCCGUGCAAAUAACCUCG